UAGCAGUCAAAAAGGGAAAUUUUCCUGGUUUAAAAUAGGUAAGAUCUUGCAUUUUGGGGAGAGGACUAAUAAUUCUGUGGAGCUACUUUAGUAAUUUCAUCUACCCAAGAAAGAUGAUAUUGCGAGCCGCCUAACUUCCCAUCACAAGAAAUGCGUGAACAUAAGAUAACGGGCGUAACAGUAGUCGAACAGCUACGGCCAAUCUUUUUCUUCCUCUAUAAAUCAAAAAACAAUCAAAACCCAGCUUUGGGUUUUACCCAUACGCUUCACAGAGAAAAGCCGGUUACCAUUCCCCGUCUCCCGACCUACUACAAGAGAAAAAAAGAAAAAGAAAAGAAAAGACAAAGUCUAUUAAUUUUGCUACUUUCAUGUUCUGAUGUUCUUAGGCAGGUGGAGAGCUCCAAAGGGAUCGCAUUGAUCUAAUAUUGUUCCUGGAUUACCGAAUGAAUUCAUGGAGGCAACUGGUAUAAGCUUUUGUUGAUUCAGUUCACUCAUUGGAUCAUGCAAUCCCUUCGGAAUUUUCCAUCAGUAGCUCUAAAUUUAUGUCAAGCCUCCUGCUCCUGUUUUUCCAUGGCAGAAAUAUAUCAGCUCAUGGCCGGCCAGACAUAUCCUGCAGAACCACAGGUUAGAUUCGAGAUUUUUAUCCGACAACAUUUGGCAAAAAACCAAUAUGAAUUCCCCCAUUGACAAACCUGUCAAUCAUCAUUGUUGGAUUUUUCCGUUUCCAUUUUCCAUAUGAUAUUUGUCUAAUUGUUUUGUUACCGGGUUUGUCUUUAUUAAUAUACUAAAUGGACAUGGCAACUGUGGAACACGAGUGAAUGAUAAUUCAUCUAUCAUUACAGUGAUUAAUUAGUCUAUACAAUAUCAAUAUUUUGUCUUCAACAAUGAUGUAUAAAAUGUUGCCAUCAUCUAGUAUUUUAUGCCACUACAGAUUAAAUAAAUCUCUUUCAAUUACGUACAACUUUGUUUAUACAUUUAUUAUACGAGUUCAUGUAUAUUUUCUUUACAAAAAUUAAUAAAACUCUAAGUUGAUAUCAUUGCUUGGGGGGCUAAGUUCAAUGACAUAGCUCAUUCAGUAAUUAGUACUUUGAUAUUCUAAUUAAUUGACCUUUCAAUUGUUCUGAUCAAUUGCUUCUUGUUGAUA